AAAUAAUAUAAUUUAAUUUAUUUAGUAUUAAUUAGUUGAUAAUUAAAAAUUUUAAAUUAAAAUUUAUUAGGUGAAAUUUUAAAUUUUUAAAAAAUUUUUUAUUUGUAAUGAAGUUAAAAAAUUUAAUUUAUAAACUAGGAUUAGAUACCCUAUUAUUUUAAACGUAUUUUUUUUACUAAAUUAGUAUUAGUUAUGUUCUUGAAAAUUAAAGAUUUUGGCGGUAUUUUAGUCUAUUCAGAGGAACCUGUUCUGUUAUUGAUAGUCCACGAUUUAAUUUACUUUUUUUAUUAGCUUGUAUAUCGUCGUAAUUUGAAUAUUUUUUGAGAAUGUGAAUAUUCAAGAUUUUUAAUAAGAAAAUAAAUCAGAUCAAGGUGCAGUUUAUAGGGAAGUAGAAAUGGGUUACAAUAAGAAUAUUUUAGGAUUAAUAUUUUUAUAAUAUUAUGAAUUUGGAUUUGAGGGUAAAUUUAAUUAAUUUAUUAAGUUGAUUUAGCUCUAAAAU
rnacentral:rRNA from 1 species